rnacentral:lncRNA from 1 species
CCUUGAGGUUGACCAGGUUCUUGAAGUAGUCAUUGUCGAAGGUGGUCGGAGUUUGGAGGUCCAGCGGUGCCAAGUUGCCGUCGCCUGAGCCGGAGGUGCUGGGACAGUUGGACUGCCUGGUUGUGGCAAGGGAGCUAUCGAUGUUGGUGUCGUUGUAGAUACGGGAUCUGAAGGAGAUGCAUCUGGCUUGGCCGAUGGUAUGCGCUCCUGUUACAAGGAGAAGAUAGAGUACUUGUAUCGGGACAAAGUAGCAGCCCAUCUAACUAAUGCCGUCUGAUUCUAAGAGGUUUUUGAGUUCUUGAACUCAUUUGCCACUUAAAAAUAUCUUUUACCGAUCGACAGUAGUGUUUCCCAUCACCAAUAGAAUCAAUCGGUCAGGAAUUUCUGGAACGUAUCGUAUGACAAUUUAUGGAAGUCGAAAUUGUUUUAGAAAGGAAUGCAUUGCCAGAGAGAAAGGCUGAUUCACAAUACCACUAAAUAUUGUCAUACGAUAUGUUUGGUACGGUGGUAACGAUGAAAACAGAGAGGAAUCGGUACCGGAGUUAAAGAGGGGAGUCAAACCUGCAAGUGCAACCAUGUCCUGUCUGGAAAGACCCUGCGCUGAGAACUUGGAGAUGAGAUUGCUAAGGCUGGAGGAUGGGGGUGGGAUGUUAUUGUUAGCCCCGGAGAGGCUUGCAGUCUUCGCGUCCCUUCUUCCCAGCUUCACAUCCCAAUUAGGCCCACCUAGCUGCAUUCACCGUCAAACAGACAUUUACCAUCCGAUUCUUAGUCUACGACAAGAAUAGAUCGAGGUGGCAAAAAAGAAAG